UACAGAGGUCUCAAGCGUUGUUCGGAAUCACUGGGCGUAAAGGGUGCGUAGGCCGCACGGUAAGUCAGAGGUGAAAUCCCGGAGCUCAACUUCGGAAUUGCCUCCGGUACUGCCGUGCUUGAGGACUGGAGAGGAGAUUGGAAUUCACAGUGGAGCAGUGAAAUGCGUAGAUAUUGUGAGGAACACUAGUGGCGAAGGCGAAUCUCUGGACAGUUCCUGACGCUGAGGCACGAAGGCCAGGGGAGCAAACGGG
rnacentral:rRNA from 1 species